CUUGGCAUCCUCAUGCUUCUGCCCUUGGUCUCUUUCUCUGGAAGCUGACUUCUCUUUCUUUACGUGACAGCCACCAUGACAUGAAUGGGGUCCGCUCACCACCAGCGUUCCACCACAGCCAUCUGACAUCUGCUCAUGGAAGGCCCCAUGUCCUUUGCCUUGGAGGACAACUUAAAAAAGACUUCAAGAACUUGAAACAGAUUAAAGGAAAACUACAAGAUGGCCAAAGGGUGGGAAAAUAAGAAAUAAUACUAUUUAAACUGUAGACAAGAGGCCUAAGGUGAUGAAACAGUCACCAAGUAUUUGAGUAGACCCACCCAGUGGACUUGUGCCAAGUUCCUCAUUUUUGAUGAGGGCAAGCAAAAACUGGUUAAAACACAACUUAGGAUGAUAAGUACUGUAGCUACAUUUAUUGAAUGCCAGUAUAUGCUGCAUAAUUAAAUGCCAUUGUCUCUCAUAAUCUACCUGUAACCCUCCUGGUCAACCAGUAACAUGUGUAUCAUUAUCCUCAUGUUUCAGAUGAAGAAACUGACCAAUGCUCAAAGUGAGAAGGUAUGCAAAUGGUAAAGCCCGGGUUCACAUCACAUCCUGAUCUGUAUAUGACACCAAAGCCCAUAUGCUGUGUCCACUACACCGCACUUCUUUUCCAGAAAGUUUCAUGCGCUAAUCGAAAGAAUGUUAUCAAGAAAAUUAGUCUAGAGAUACUAGACAUAAGAUUAACUCAUGGGUACUUUGGAUCAUUAAAUGCAGUCAUACAAAAGAAAGUUGGAUGUGCUGAAAAACCCUAGGGAUUUCUUCUGUCCCUUCAACAUACCAUUAGAAAUCCUUGUCAAGGUUGUAUCUGGCUAUAUUAGAAGAGGUUUUUGACAUGGUAUAUUAUCAUUCUAAAGCCAGUUUAGGCUGUUUUUGGUGAUUGUGACACCCCGUAUUAAAUAUUGAGGCAUAAGAAUCAAAUGCUCAACAAAAAAUGUUUUAAAAUUUGCCUUCUCAACAGCCCAAGAGAUCCGUUUACCUUUCAAUUUGGGUUAUUUAUUUAGAAUGUUAGCAUUUAUCUUGCUUUCUUCAAAUCCAUGGACUGCAUACUUUUUGAGGAUAGAAGCCCUUAGCAUCUAGACAAGGGCAUGAUACACAACGCAUGCUCAUAAAUAUGUGAUUAAUAUUGUGUGAUACAAUAUAACCCUUCAUGAACAGUGUUAAUAAAUAUAGUAUUUAAUUUCA